CUUUAAUGCAAUUUCCUAUUCAUAAAAAUAUACAUUGUUGUCCUGUUUGUAGACAUUCAUUUGUUGUUUGCAGCAAUUGUUAGUCGUAAACGAGAAUUGGUGCACCAUACACAGGACAAAAUGGCAUUGUAAGGUACCCUGGGCAGACUCUGUUCUCAUGUACAAAAUGAUUCAAAGUAUUCUCAUCCUAGCUUGUUUCAAUGUAGAGCUAGUUAGCUACCAUACUUGUUUUCAUAUGAAAGGCCAAGACAUUUAAAGUAGUGUAGAUCUCUUCUGUUCUCUUGUGAGAUCUAUCACAUGCAACAAAGGAAUGGACUUCAUCCCUGUCCUCAAUCCAACUGCAUCCAGGGCUCUUGUUCAGUCCUCUAUCCUUCAUCAUCUGUCUUAUUCUUGCAAGGUCAGACCAUCUCCUUGCAUAAGCAUAUAAAUUAGCCAAUAAAACAUAAUUUCCAGUAUUAUUUGGUUCUAACUCUAUGAGCCUCUCUGCAGCAAUUUGGCCUAGCUCAACAUUACCAUGAAUAACACAGCCUCCAAGUAAAGCUCCCCACAGAACUGAAUCAGGUUCCAUGGGCAUGGGCAUUUUUUUAAUAACCUCGUAAGCUUCAUGUACCUGUCCCGAACGGCUAAGGAGAUCAACCAUUGAAGUAUAGUGUUUUAAUUCAGGUUUCACGUUAUAACAUCCCAUCAAAUUGAAAAACUCAUGGCCAGUCUCCACUGAUCCAGCAUGCACACAUGAAGAAAGAACAGAUAAGAAAGUCACUUCAUUGGGUUGAAAACCAGUGGCCAGCAUUCUUCGAAAGAGAGCUAUACCCUCUUCCCCAUGUCUGUGCAUGGCAUAUGCAGUAAGCAUGGCAUUGUGGGAUACCAAAUUGGGGUUUGAUAUCCUAUCAUAAACCAACACCGCAUCCUUUAUACUUCCACCCUUUGAAUACAUAUCCACAAGGGCUGCUCCUACAUGGACAUCAGAGUCAUAACAACAUCUAAUUGAGUGCGCAUGAACCUGUUUCCCUCGCUCAAGAGUGGCCAACCUCGAACAUGCAGCUAGAAUAAUUCCAACUGUGUAAAUAUCAGGCCUUAUAUUUAGAGUCUGCAUUUCAGAGAACAACUCAAUAGUUAAGCCCAAGUGUCCAUUGUCCAAAUAAGCUGCAAGAAUACCAUUCCACGUAUAUAUGUUUGGCUCGUAGCCAUCCUCUCUCAUCUUUUCAAGUAGGUUUCCAAUUAUUCCGUUCUGGUUGCAGCGGGCAUAGCCAGAAAUCAGAACGUUCCAUGUUGGUAUAUCUCUUUCAAUUACCUCAUCAAAAGCCAUCUGAGCAGCCCGUAGGUCUUGGCACUGAGAGUACAUUUCUACCAGAGCUCCACCUACAAAGGUAUUUGAUUGCAAGCCCUUAACAAUGGCAUGACAAUGUAUUUCCUUUCCUAGUCUCAACGAAGCCAUAUCAGCACAAACAGUCAAAACACUCCCUAAAGUAAAAGAAUCAGGUUCAAUUCCUUCUACUUUUAGCAAGUCCUGAAACAUAUUCAAGGCUUCAUCAAACAGGAAGUUAUCCACAUAUCCUGAAAUCAUAGAGUUCCAUGAAAUUAGAUCCCUUUUUAACCCUGUAAGCUCCAUAUGAUCAAAGAGCUCGUUAGCCUUGGAGACUUCUCCACUCUCACAAUAACCAACAAUCAUUGUAUUAUAAGAGACACCAGUUUUCAAUGAAAACUUUGAAAAGAUCUUAAAUGCAUUGUCCAUAUCACCACACCUCCUAUACACAUCAACUAAUCCAUUCACAACAAAAGGGUUAGACAUAAAUCCAUGUCUUGUGACAUAGCCAUGGAAUUUUUUACCAAGGCUAAGCUUUUGUAGUCUAGCACAAGCUGGAAGAACACUUGCCAGAGUUCGCGCAUUUGGUUCAAUCCCUUCUGCUAGCAUUCUAAAUAGCAGCUCCAUGGCUUUCUCAUCAUAACCAUUCUGAGCAAACCCCCCUAUUACUGCACUCCAAGAAACAAGAUUCGGCAUUGAAUUACCUGAAAAUUUCAUUUUCUCCAGAAACUCCAAUGCCUCAUAAACCAUGCCAUUAGAAGCACAAGCCGUAAUGACAGAAUUCCAUGACACAGUAUCUGUCCGUGGCAUCAUUGCUAAAACUUUCUUGGCAUCCUCUAAACUUUCACAUUUACCAUACAUAUCUAUUAAAGCAUUAGCCACAUAAAUAUUAGAAAAAAACUGAUAUUUUAUCACCAUCCCAUGCAAUUGCCUUCCUAGUUCUACCGUGCCAAGACCACUACAUGUAUUGAACGCUACUGGAAACACAAAGAAUUCCAAUCCUAAAUCUUCCAACAGUAAUUCUCGAAACAGUGAAAACGCUUCCUCAAAGAGUCCAUGAUUAGAAUAAGCAGUGAGAAUAGCCAACCAAGAAUACAAGCUUCUACGAGGCAUUAUCUCGAACAACAAAUCUGCAGAUUCCAAACAUCCGCACCUCGCAUACAUUUGAAGCAACUUGGUCUGCAAAAACUCAUGCGUAUAAAACCCAGUUUUGAUGGAUUGGGCGUGAACUUGUUUCCCUAAAUUUGGGCAUUUACAGGAGUCGAGAACUGAAGCAUAUAUGCUGGAAUUUACAGGUUUAGUGUACAGAACGGAGACAUGAGAGUGGUUAGUUAGCUGAGGAGCUUGUGUUGGUGCUUGAAAGGGAAUGCAGGAGAGCUUGUGAGGAUUGUUGGAGUCAUUAAUGGGCGGCGAUGGCGGCAGUAAUGGUGCAGAGAUCGACUCAAAAAGCUGGGCGGGCAUCUUGGCCAUGGCUAUCUAGCCAGCGAAUGGAAAGGCGAUGGUUGAAG
rnacentral:misc_RNA from 1 species